UACGGGGGGGGCAAGCGUUGUUCGGAGUUACUGGGCGUAAAGCGCACGCAGGCGGUCUGCUAAGUUUGGAGUGACAGUUGGUGGCUCAACCACCAAAGUGCUUUGAAAACUGACAGACUUGAGGGCUUCAGAGGGACACGGAAUUCCGGGUGGAGUGGUGAAAUGCGUAGAGAUCCGGAGGAACACCAAAGGCGAAGGCAGUGUCCUGGGGAGUACCUGACGCUCAGGUGCGAAAGCCAGGGGAGCGAACGGG
rnacentral:rRNA from 1 species